AAGUAACUUGUUCACAACUAGGCUACCCUGACUCGUCGCAGCAGAGUUUCUCCCGCUACUGAGGACUGUUCAACCAGACAACAAUGGUGAAGGUAUACGUGCACACCACUGGACUACAUCUGGAUUGUCAUGAGCAGUUUAAAGCACGUAUAGCUAGCCGGGUCCAUGUCCGGCAAGAGUCCAAUCCUAAUGACUGUAACCUCAUUCUUGCAUUCUGUACAAUCACCUCUCGAGUUGGAACUGAUGUUGAAGCGGCUGUCAAUGAGAUCCCAGGGAACCAACCUGUGAUCCUUGUGGUUUUUCAUCACACCUUUGACGUAGACUAUGUUGUGCCAGACAGUAGAAGAUUCAUAGGCCGACAAAAUGUUCUUCUUGUUAACAUCCUGUUCCACGAAACCCAUCAGGGACUCCUGAGGUGCUUGCAGAAUGAUGAAGAACUGAAAACAGUAUCAGAUUAUCUCAUACGUCAAGGGGCUGAGGCUCCCUCUGCACCUGCACCUGCACCUGCAUCACCAUCCAACAACGGUGACAGAAGGCGUUGGAUUGGUGGUUUCAUUUGUUUGGUAGUUCUGAUUGUUGUUGUAGUUAUUCUUGUUUUGGUAAUUGAAUAUCAACAGGGUAAUCUGGGCAGUUGGAGUAACAGCUCCAGUGGUUCCAUAGCAGGCCCCAAUGAUUCCAUAAAAGACCCCAAUGAUUCCAUAACAGACCCGAACAUGCUGUAGCAAGUUGUAGUUGAUUUGUAUCUUUUUGUGUGGAAAUUAAAGAAAUAGUCCUCCUAUCCAAUGAUAUAUGUAUAUGAAAUCAACAUCUUAUGGCUAUGUUACUUGCGGCAAAUCAUUUUAUUCAAAUUGCGUGACAACUCACCAGACUCUAAAGUGAGCAAAGAAGAUCAUCUCCAACUUUCACUUCCUGCUCAGGACCUCUUUCAGCAGCUUCUAUCAUGGAGGCGCCUCUGGCCACGACAGCCGACACUUCACUAACACCUUUUACGCUAUAGCUAUGACUCUUAACUCUACUUUCAUCUUUCCUCUUUUGACCUCUGUCAUACAUACAGUACCAUGCACCUACAUUUGCACUAUGGAUGUUUCAACUAUAAAGUGGUACAUUUGCACUAUUGUAUUGUAAACAAUAAUCAUAAUGUUAAAAUCCCUCCCCCAAAAGCUUCCCUAAGCUUUUACUGCAUUAUUCUGAGUUAUACCUGUAAUUGCAAUAAACGUAACAGUGUGCGUCUAAAUACGAAGCAGGGAUACGUUUCCUAUUUUAAACAUUAUAUGGCUGCAAUAAAAAGUGUGUAUGGCUGCUAUAAGGUAGAUCACACAUGCACACUUGGCUAUUCAGACCCUCUAAUUAACGUCUCUUGUCAAUAAUGACUUAAAGAAAUAAAUGGUCUGUGUAAACACUGUCUGAGCAUCAAGAACAACCACAAGAACUGGUGGAGCCUGUUGUCCCUGGCGGUCAUGCAUGCUCUGGUUCCAGAGAGCACUUAUACUCAGGCUCCAGUUUCAGCCAUUUCUUCAGAAUGUAGCUGUUCAU